rnacentral:rRNA from 1 species
UACGUAGGCAGCAAGCGUUGUUCGGAGUUACUGGGCGUAAAGAGUGCGUAGGCGGUUUCGCAAGUCUGUUGUGAAAUCUCCCGGCUUAACUGGGAGGGUGCGGUGGAAACUGCGGAGCUGGAGUGUGGGAAAGGUAGGCGGAAUUCCUGGUGUAGCGGUGAAAUGCGUAGAUAUCAGGAGGAACACCGGUGGUGUAGACGGCUUACUAGACCAUGACUGACGCUGAGGCACGAAAGCGUGGGUAG